GGUUGCAUCGUAUAACGGUUAGUACAACAGAUUCUGACUUCUAGACCAUUAAGGUUGUUCUGUAGACCUGGGUUCGACUCCCAGUGCGACCU